CACCUCUCUGCCGCUGACGAAAGGGACCCAGCCCUCAUCUCUCUCCUCUCGCCCAGUUUCCUGUACGCACACGAGUUCGUCUCUCGAUCCAAAUCUUCGAUCGAUUUGAUCCGUUCUUGACCUUUCUCCCACGCCCGACCCUCUAUAUAUUCUGCCCAAAUCCUCCGCGUCCGAUUUUUGGCAAAUCUGAGAUCUCCCGUGCUCGUUUCGCCCUGUCCCGAUCUCGCCGGAAUCCGUUUUGCAGAAGCUUGUCGCCGCCGUUGAAUUCGUAGCCAGCCGAGGGGCACACCAGAGGGACCACGACUUCUACCCAAAGAAGAAGCUGCCCUCGCCGGAGAUUCCAUGUAGCUGUCGCCGUCGUCGAGGUCCGAGCCGCCGAGGUCCUCUUCUCCAAGUCCGGCGGCCUGCCUUUGUUCACGGGAUAUUCAUAUGAUCAGUGAGAUACAAUAGGGUUGCGAGUCUUCACUCAACAUCUUCGCCAGUGGACAUUGUUUGGACUCAUCGUUUAUUAUGCUACAUUUCCGUUGUUAUUGGAUAAAUAUAGCUAUGUACUAUUCAGUUUGUAAUACUUUAUAAAUUCUGGAUCAUAUGUUGUAG